AGCGUGCUGUUUUUGGAUGCCUCUGUCACACAUUCCUUCACUUCACGUACGCGGAAACAUCAGGAAGUACCAGCGAGUGCCCCUGGGUUCCAGAGCAGCAGUCCUGCCCGGGGGUCUCUCCACAUGCAGGAGGACCAUUGCUGCGUGCCUGCAGGCAGCUCCCCCGGGGCUCCGAGACCUUCCCAGCAGAGUUCUCCAGGCCCGGGAGGAAGACGCGCGGUGGGGCUCUUGGUGUAAAGCUGCGGAGCCCGCCCAACCCUAACCCCUCCACCCCAGGACCCACACGCUCUGGUUAAAAGCGUUGAGCUGUCCUGGCAGACAGACUCGUGCCUGCGUCUCAGUGGGCAGCCACGUGGACACAAGGCCCCUGCUCUGUGUCCCGUGGGGCUGGCGGAGCGUUGUUGCGGGAGGUGGUGCCGACAGGCAGGGCAGGCAGACCCGCGUCCGGGAGACGGGUUCGAUCCCGUGAGGACGCGUCUCUGGCCUCCGUGUAGUGGGCCUGCCGGCAGGUGGCCAGCUGCUCCUGGGCCUUGGUGCCGGUCCAGUCGCCAAGUGGGCGCCCGGCAGGGCCAGCUGGUGAGCCAGGGUCAGGGCCUGACAUCGAGCCUGUUGAGACAGCCCCGUCCCCAUCUCGAUGGCCCCUUUGUUCAUGGAGUGGGGCAGGGGUUCUCAGCGAGCCGUCCGCUCCCACAACUGGCCGUUUUGUCCACCUGGCGGUGAGUGUCCUCUGUCGGGCUUUUCCCUGGUGAGCACAGUCUGUGCCCGUUUGGAGAGGUCUGUCCCCACCCGGAUCUUCUGUCGCCAGUCCUUAAAUCCCGUUGCUCCCAAAUCUUUGACCGUCCAGCCGAGCUGAACUUUGAAGACAAAGUUACGGUAAACGAUGGUCCUCGGGUCCCUGGUCACAAGGGUACUUGCGGUUGUGCAGUGGGCGUGUCUGUGCACGUCACAGCCGCCCGCUCUUGCUGUACUUCGCACGCGAGUGUCCGUCGCUGCACACCCGGAGGUGGGCCAAGCGGUCGACCGCCCUCGCUGUGUUCAGGGCACUCGUGCCACGCGGUCACCGAUGUCCGUGGUUAGGUGCUCGGCCCGCAUAGUGGAGGCUCUUUCUGCGGAGGACCAGCGCCCCCGGAGGAGGACAGGUUUGACGUGCUUGGAGGAUCUGUGCUGGUGUCCUUUGGUCCCCGCUGGGGGCUUGUGACACGUCCUCAUUCGCCGCGGAUGUUGAGUUACUAGGUCUCUUGUAUCCUCGGGCUCAGUGGUCGCGCCGCAUUUUCGGACACGUUCGGGUCCCUCUUUAACUGGGAGGCACGCGCUGCCUGUGUAGACGGUUGGAAUUAACACACCAGAAGGGUCUGGGCUGCCUGUUCUCGGGAGGGUGUGGGAGAUGCAGUGCCCUGUCUUCUUGCUUCAGAGCCCGGAAUCCACAGGAAUGCCACUGAGUUGGGGACCCCUGAGUUUGGGGCGCAUUAUUUCUUGUGAUGGAUCGAUUGGUUUUAAUUUUUUAAAAUUAUCUUUAUUUUUUAACUUUUAUUGGAGUACAGUUAAUUUACAGUGUGGUGUUAGUUUCAGGGGUACAGCAAAGUGGAUCAGUUACGCACGUGCACGUAUCCACUCUUUUUUAGAUUCUUUUCCUACAUAGCUCAUUACAGAGUAUUGAGUGGAGCUCCCUGUGCUCUACGGCAGGUCCUCAUUAGUUACCUGUUUUAUAUAUAGUAGUGUGUACCUGUCAAUCCCAGUCUCCCAGUUUAUUAUCCCCCUCCUUUCCCCCUGGCAACUAUAAGUUUGUUUUCUACCUCUGUGACUGUAUUUCUGUUUUGUGAAUAAGUUCAUUUGUACCAUUUUUACUCUUAAUCUUGUGGCUUAUUCAGUUCACUGUUAUUAAAUUGUCUGCUCAUCAGAUCCAGUCAGCGACACGUCACCGCUGUGGUGCGUGGGAGUGAUGCUCUGUGCAGCACGCGACGGUCUGCGUGUCUGGACUCAGCAGCAGAAGCAGGGUCGGUGUAGCCCUGAGGCUCCAUCGGGAGGAAUGCGGUGGACUUCUGCUCCGGGGAGGGAGGGGUGGGGGGAGGGCAAGCGGGACGGGACCCCAGGGGAGGAAACACUGAGCGACAGGGGCGUCUACUGCCGAGGAAGGGCAGGAAGGCGUGCAGCUGCCAGGGAGCAGCCCCUCCCUGAGAGCGUGACCCCACAGGGCCAGGUGAAGCCAUUGGGCCCCGGGGGUGAUCACAGCAACGACAGAACCCAGCCAGCUCAGCCUGUGACUCGGCACCUCACUGAUGGCCUGGAGGAGAAAGGCCGGCCAAUUCCAGGCAUAAAAACUUGGUAUGUCAGUCUCUGCCUUCCCACGCAGGUCUGGCGUUCGGU
rnacentral:lncRNA from 1 species